rnacentral:rRNA from 1 species
UCGACUGCAUGAAGUCGGAAUCGCUAGUAAUCGCGGAUCAGCAUGCCGCGGUGAAUACGUUCCCGGGCCUUGUACACACCGCCCGUCACACCAUGAGAGUCGGGAACACCCGAAGUCCGUAGCCUAACCGCAAGGAGGGCGCGGCCGAAGGUGGGUUCGAUAAUUGGGGUGAAGUCGUAACAAGGUAAC